rnacentral:rRNA from 1 species
UACGUAGGGUGCAAGCGUUGUCCGGAAUUAUUGGGCGUAAAGAGCUCGUAGGCGGUUUGUCGCGUCGGAUGUGAAAACCCGGGGCUCAACCCCGGGCCUGCAUUCGAUACGGGCAGACUAGAGUUCGGUAGGGGAGUCUGGAAUUCCUGGUGUAGCGGUGAAAUGCGUAGAUAUCAGGAGGAACACCGGUGGUGUAAACGGCUUUCUGGACCGUAACUGACGCUGAGGCACGAAAGCGUGGGUAGCAAACAGG